UKUGUGKKGCYWWAUAMUUGMAAGUUCGAGCGAGCUUGCCUAUUUGAWAUUCUUCGGAAUGGACAUAGAUACAAGCUAUKCGGCGGAUGGGUGAGUAACGCGUGGGUAACCUGCCCUUAAGUCUGGGAUACCAUUUGGAAACAGAUGCUAAUACCGGAUAAAAGCUACUUUCGCAUGAAAGAAGUUUAAAAGGCGGCGUAAGCUGUCGCUAAAGGAUGGACCUGCGAUGCAUUAGCUAGUUGGUAAGGUAACGGCUUACCAAGGCGAUGAUGCAUAGCCGAGUUGAGAGACUGAUCGGCCACAUUGGGACUGAGACACGGCCCAAACUCCUACGGGAGGCAGCAGUAGGGAAUCUUCCACAAUGGACGCAAGUCUGAUGGAGCAACGCCGCGUGAGUGAAGAAGGUUUUCGGAUCGUAAAGCUCUGUUGUUGGUGAAGAAGGAUAGAGGUAGUAACUGGCCUUUAUUUGACGGUAAUCAACCAGAAAGUCACGGCUAACUACGUGCCAKCAGCCGCGGUAAUACGUAGGUGGCWAGCGUUGUCCGGAUUUAUUGGGCGUAAAGCGAGCGCAGGCGGAUUGAUAAGUCUGAUGUGAAAGCCUUCGGCUCAACCGAAGAACUGCAUCAGAAACUGUCAAUCUUGAGUGCAGAAGAGGAGAGUGGAACUCCAUGUGUAGCGKUGGAAUGCGUAKAUAUAUGGAAGAACACCAGUGGCGAAGGCGGCUCUCUGGUCUGUAACUGACGCUGAGGCUCGAAAGCAUGGGUAGCGAACAGGAUUAKAUACCCUGGUAGUCCAUGCCGUAAACGAUGAGUGCUAAGUGUUGGAGGUUUCCGCCUCUCAGUGCUGYAGCUAACGCAUUAAKCACUCCGCCUGGGGAGUACGACCGCAWGGUUGAAACUCWAAGGAAUUUGACGGGGGCCCGCACAAGCGKUGGAGCAUUGUGKUUUAAUUCGAAGCMACKYGAAAACCUUACCAGGUCUUGACAUCCUUUGACCACCUAAGAGAUUAGGUUUUCCCUUCGGGAMWAAGAGACAGGKGUGCAUGCUGUCGUCARCUCGUGYCGUGAGAUGUUGGGUUAAGUCCCGCAACGAGCGCAACCC
rnacentral:rRNA from 1 species